UCGGGGGGUCUGGGGGUCUCGGGGGUCUCUGGGGGUCUCCAUGGGGUGCCAGGCUGGGGACACAAAGUGGUGACAUGUGACAGGAGGAGGUGGCCGUGAGGUGUGGCAGGAAUGGGGGGGUGGGGUCUGCAGGGGUCCCCCCCUCCCCUCCCCUCCCGUGUCCCUCAGGGUGGGGGUCCCCAGGGGGUGGCUCCAGUGGCAGGGUUGGGGUCCCCCCCUUGACCCCCGAUGUCCCCAGCCCGGGGGGUCCCGGGGCGGGUUUGGGGUCCCAGGGUGGGUUUGAGGUCCCGGGGUGGGUUUGGGGUCCCCGGGUCACGUUUGGGGUGUCCCCCCGACCCCCCCUCCCUGUCUCCAGCCCUGAGGGUCCCGGGGUGAGUUUGGGGGUCCUGGGUCAGAUUUGGGGUCCCGGGGCAGGUUUGGGGUCCCAGGACAGGUUUGGGGUCCUGGGUCAGGUUUGGGGUGUCCCCCCUGACCCCCCCCUGACCCCCCCCUGACCCCCCCAUCCCUGUCCCCAGCCCGGAGGGGUCCCCGGGUCAGGUUUGGGGUCCCGGGGCAGGUUUGGGGUCCCCGGGUCAGGUUUGGGGUCCCGGGGCAGGUUUGGGGUCCCCGGGUCAGGUUUGGGUCCCAGGACAGAUUUGGGGUCCCGGGGCAGGUUUGGGGUCCUGGGGCGGGUUUGGGGUCCCGGGGUGGAUUUGGGGUCCCGGGUCAGGUUUGGGGUGUCCCCCGUGACCCCCCCCCCAUCCCUGUCCCCAGUCCGGGGGGUCCCAGGGCGGGUUGGGGUCCCGGGUCAGGUUUGGGGUC